GCCUCAUAGUAAUGCAUCAAAUACUAGCCAUUUUAAUUAGAAGCAGGUAUUGCAUAUAAUGCUAAAUUAAAUGCAAGUACUGGAUCAUAUAUAUGUAUGCUACAUGUCGUUGAAUUUGAAAAUGAUUUCAAAUUUGUCGCCAAUAUUUCAAACAAACUGUAUUUUUAUAACGGUCAAAUGGACAAAGUCUAUUUAUAUGCAUAUCUGUACGAAGCAAUGAUGCAUUGUCUGGCAAUUCUAAACGGAAAUAUACACUGUAUAAAUAAACGUUUUACUUACCCUGCAAGCCUUGGGC